rnacentral:rRNA from 1 species
CCUACGGGUGGCUGCAGUGGGGAAUAUUGCGCAAUGGGCGAAAGCCUGACGCAGCGACGCCGCGUGAGGGAUGAAGGUCUUCGGAUCGUAAAGUUCUGUGAUGGGGGAUGAACACAAUGACGGUACCCCAAUAGCAAGCCACGGCUAACUACGUGCCAGCAGCCGCGGUAAUACGUAGGUGGCAAGCGUUAUCCGGAAUGACUGGGCGUAAAGGGUGCGUAGGUGGGUUAGUAAGUUGGCGGUGUAAUUCCGGGGCUCAACCUCGGCGCUACCGCCAAAACUAUUAGACUAGAGUGCAGGAGGGGUAAGUGGAAUUCCUAGUGUAGCGGUGGAAUGCGUAGAUAUUAGGAGGAACAUCAGGGGCGAAGGCGACUUACUGGACUGUAACUGACACUGAGGCACGAAAGCGUGGGGAGCAAACAGGAUUAGAUACCCCUGUAGUC